UCUGAGCAGAGAGCUGCACAGCUAACUUCAUGCUGUGGUCUCAACUUCAACACUUCACCAAAUGAGAAAAUCUGUGAUUCCUCUCCAGCGGGCUGAUAAGUCUUAUCACAGUCAGUCUCUGCAACAGUGGCAGAACUUUGACCCGAGACUGAGACCUCACUCACUUGUAGAUUCAUCACAGCUCCUCCUCAUCCAACAGAACCAAUUGGAAAAGAGACAGGGUGUCUUUGGUUUUGUACACUUAAGGAGAGGGUAAAGAAGAGAACUGAAAGAUUUAUCACCAUGAACCGGGCCUGGACUGUGUUCAAGGCUCACCCGUACAUCAGUAACAUCCUGGGAUACACAACGCUGUUUGCUUCUGCUGACCUCAUACAGCAGAGUGUGCUGGGUGGGAAUCACACUGCAGGAUCCACA